ACUGAUUCCUGGACUCCUGCUUGCUUAAUGUUUCUGCUUUCAAAAGAUUAUUUUCUUGAUGAUACGGACGUGCUCACAUAGUGCCUUUUUAAUGCAUUGCUUUUUGCAGGAUUAAUAGAUGGUGCUUGUGGUAAGGUUUUAAAAAGCAAUCUAUGGAAACACUCUCUAUGCUGCCCAGACAGCAUGACUUGUGGUAAAGCAAAAAAAACACAGAAGGAGGAAGUAUAGUGUAGAAAACCUUUGGGUUAAAAGAUUUCAGUUUGUUAACAAAACUCUAGUGCUGGAGUUAUG